GGCCCCGCACAAGCGGUGGAGCAUGUGGUUUAAUUCGAUGAUACGCGAGGAACCUUACCAGGGCUUAAAUGUAGUGGGACAGGUCUAGAGAUAGACCCUUCUUCGGACUCAUUACAAGGUGCUGCAUGGUUGUCGUCAGCUCGUGCCGUGAGGUGUCAGGUUAAGUCCUAUAACGAGCGCAACCCCUAUCGUUAGUUGCCAGCGAGUAAUGUCGGGAACUCUAACGAAACUGCCAGUGCAAACUGUGAGGAAGGUGGGGAUGACGUCAAAUCAUCACGGCCCUUACGUCCUGGGCUACACACGUGCUACAAUGGCCGGUACAGAGAGCAGCCACUUCGCAAGAAGGAGCGAAUCUAUUAAAACCGGUCUCAGUUCGGAUCGGAGUCUGCAACUCGACGGCAUGAAGUCGGAAUC
rnacentral:rRNA from 1 species